AUUGCGCCAAGCCUCUCUCCAUUUCUUGCAAGUUACCGAAGCGAUCACAGCAUCUCGGGCACCUCUGAGCUGGGAAAGUAUGUUACCGAUCACUUCAACAGGAAGAUGCUCCAUCCCCCAAAUAGGAAGCACAAGAUGAAACAGUUACUUCCAGAAAUGUACACGAAACAUCAAAUUCCAGCACCCAAAACCAUGAAUAUACACACCCAAUAACAGAAUUUAAAGCCGCCCAGUGUCCAUCAUCUGUACUAUUCGAUACUGAGCCGAAAAUGAUCCCGAUCGAACUUGAACACCGG
rnacentral:misc_RNA from 1 species